rnacentral:rRNA from 1 species
GACAGAGGGUGCAAACGUUGUUCGGAAUUACUGGGCGUAAAGGGCUGGUAGGCGGCCAACUAAGUCCGACGUGAAAUCCCAAGGCUUAACCUUGGAACUGCGUCGGAUACUGGAUGGCUUGAAUUCGGGAGAGGGAUGCGGAAUUCCAGGUGUAGCGGUGAAAUGCGUAGAUAUCUGGAGGAACACCGGUGGCGAAGGCGGCAUCCUGGACCGAGAUUGACGCUGAACAGCGAAAGCGUGGGGAGCAAACAGG